rnacentral:rRNA from 1 species
UGUCUCAAAGAUUAAGCCAUGCAUGUCUAGGCAUAAAUGAAUCAAUUGUGAAGCCGCGAAUGGCUCAUUACACCAGCUGAAAUUUACUGGAUAUAUCCUUUACAUGGAUAACUGUGGUAAUUCUACAGCUAAUACACGCAUCAAAACCCCGACUAACGAAGGGGUGCGUUUGUUACUUCAAACCAAUCGGGCUUCGGCCUGAAAACUGGUGAAACUGAACAAUUUAGCUGAUCGCACGGUCUAUGCACCGGCGACAUGUCUUUCAAACGUCUGCCUUAUCAACUUUCGAUGGUAGAUUAUGCGCCUACCAUGGUUGUAACGGGUAACGGAGAAUCAGGGUUUGAUUCCGGAGAGGGAGCCUGAGAAACGGCUACCACAUCCAAGGAAGGCAGCAGGCACGCAAAUUACCCACUCCCGGCACGGGGAGGUAGUGACGAAAAAUAACAAGCUGGUCUCUAUGAGUUCCGGCAUUGUAAUGGGAACAAUUUAAAUCCUUUAUCGAGGAUCUAUUGGAGGGCAAGUCUGGUGCCAGCAGCCGCGGUAAUUCCAGCUCCAAUAGCGUAUAUUAAAGUUGUUGCGGUUAAAAAGCUCGUAGUUGGAUCUAUGACCAAGAGCGUUGGUCGUUCAACUUGGACGUACUGAUGUCUCUGGUCCUUUCUUCAGUGAUCGGUUGUUGCUCUUUACUGAGUGACCUCCUUUGCUGAAACUUUUACCUUGAAAAAAUUGAAGUGCUCAAAGCAGGCUUUCGCCUGAACAUUGCUGCAUGGGAUAAUAGAACGACCUCGGUUCUGUUCUGUUGGUUUCGGAACGCGAAGUAAUGGUUAAUAGGGACAGACGGGGGCAUUCGUAUUGCUGCGUUAGAGGUGAAAUUCUUGGAUCGCAGCAAGACGAACUACUGCGAAAGCAUUUGCCAAGAAUGUUUUCAUUAAUCAAGAACGAAAGUUAGAGGUUCGAAGGCGAUCAGAUACCGCCCUAGUUCUAACCGUAAACGAUGUUAACUAGCGAUCCGCAGGAGUAACUUUAACGGCUCUGCGGGGAGCUCCCGGGAAACCUAAGUGUUCAAAUUCCGGGGGAAGUAUGGUUGCAAAGCUGAAACUUAAAGGAAUUGACGGAAGGGCACCACCAGGAGUGGAGCUUGCGGCUUAAUUUGACUCAACGCGGGGAAACUCACUUGGUCAGGACACUGUAAGGAUUGACAGAUUGAAAGCUCUUUCUUGAUUCGGUGGAUGGUGGUGCAUGGCCGUUCUUAGUUGGUGGAGUGAUUUGUCUGGUUAAUUCCGAUAACGAACGAGACUCUAUCUUGCUAACUAGUCGCAGAUUUAUUCUGACUGUUGAGCUUCUUAGAAGGACAGGUGGAUUAACCAUACGAGAUUGAGCAAUAACAGGUCUGUGAUGCCC